AACCAGAAUAAAUGAAAGGAAAAUAAAAUGCCAAAUGCCAUCCUGCUGCAAGGUUUUCAACAGAAGGAGAAUGCUGUUCCUUGCUGUGCUGCCUUCCCACGCUGCAGCUGUAGGGAACCCAGAACCGCGCUUGCAACAGGGAUGCUGCUGGAAUCACCGGGGAGGGAGCCAGAGGCAAAGCCUGGAUUGGCAGCACAGAGGCUGAAUGCAGAUGUCCUUCUUUCUCUGCUUCCCUGGUACAUCACCAGAGACAGCACAUCACUACUGGUAAACUGCUUAAAAGGAAGCAAGCACCAUUUUUUAUGUCGUAUAAAUAUCUAUCUACACAUUUUCCAAAAAGGAUGGAGGUGCUGGGAUGCCUACGUGAUUUAUGCACAGUAUGGAAGUAGCACAAACAUGAUCAUUUACAACAGGUUUUAAUGACCAUCUGAAGGGGAAAGAUACCAAAUAUGGUUAACAGCAACUGUUAAGUGAAACAAGUUAUAUUUCAUCUAUGUAAACAAAGUAAUGAUCAUGUCUGUCACAAGAUUUCAAGAGAUUUAUCUUCCAGGCUCCCUAAUAUGGUUACAUCUGUCUCCUGCUUAAAUCCUAUGUUCUUGCCAUCUGCUCCUAUGCACUUCUUUUCACCCUCAAGCAGUGAUUAAACAACUAUCUGGGAAAGAAAAAAAGUACUUUUCCAUUUUUGAGCCAAUGUUUAACAGCUGGAAAAAACCUGGAAAACCAAACCCACAAACCCUUUGGCUCUCAAUUGCUUUCUCUGGUUGGGAAUGUUACUAGUGAGAUGCUCAGCUGAAGUUUCCAGGAAUCUUUACAUCUCACUGUACAACAGGAAACGCUGCACCUAUAGAUUCAAGUAGUUUUGUUAUGGAGUGUAAUAAAUUUGGAGCAGAUUGAACCACCAUUCAGUUAAUCAGUCAAAUUGUCAUUGAGAGGUAAUGUUAUAUGGGGAGAUCAGGAAGCAUUUUGCUUUGUAAAGAAGGAAACUUCCUAGAAUUCUUUAUUUGCGCUGUGGGAAGCCUUGAUAGCUGUGUUCCUUUGAGAUGUGCUUUGUACUUACCUCUCCUUGUCCAAACAUGGAGGAGCAGGAAGGACAGAGCCCCAGCUCGCUCUCUUUUCUGUGUGAGGAGAACCAAAGAAGAGCAAUUUCACAGAUCCUGUGCUUCUGCCUUCUGGGCAAGACUGCAGCCUGCUGAUCCUCAUGUGGGCACAUUAAUUAGGGGAGCACUUUACAUCCAUCACCCUCUGUAGCCAUAGAAUGGUCAGUCAUAAUCCAUCUCUUAGUGUUUAUUCGGAGCCUUGAAAUCCUUGAAAGGUAUUAGAGAUGCACUGAGCAUCUUGCUACAGGAGAGGCUUGAUGCAAUGACAAUUCUGUCAUUUAAAAAAACUGCUUCAUCCCUUCUCUAGGAGUUUUGUCAAACUUUAUUUUCUUGGGCUGUUGCUUUCUCCUAUGUAGAAGAAAUUACGGAUAUUACCUAAUCAUUCCCUUGAGCUUCAUAGGAAGUAACUGGACUUGGUACCUCUGCUUCUCAGUCCUUGCUCCUUUGGCUGCUUUACUCUGCUGCUUCUGUCCCCUACCAUUUAUAAUUGUUACUGCUUGCAAAGAUGGGAAACCAAAAUUGUUUGUACUGUUUGUAAAACACUGUGAAGUAUUUUCAGAAAUAAUGCAUAACAAGGCAAAUUUACCAUGGCUUUUUUAUCCUCAGGUAAUAAUCCUUGUCUGAGAAUCUAGGCCUAUCAUUUCUACUGGUAUAAAUAGGUGCAGCUCCACUAAAGGCCUUGCCUUUAAUGUACUGGGGGGCUUUGCUGUGAAGGAUACAGAGGGUCAGGCAGUUCAGCUUUAGAUUUAAUAAACACCAUUGCUUAAAUUACUAAGAUAGACAAGCUACCUUGUUUUACAGCCAGCAUUUUCAGAACAACUUACACAAUUGUCUUGGGAAUACCUUUGGGUUAAGCAGAGCAGCAAGCCAUCAUCUGCUGUGGUCUGUGGAUCUUGUCUGUAAGUCUGAGCUGCUGGUAAUCCCUUUGGUACCAUGCUGCUGCAUGCCCAGGGCUUUGCUGGGAGCUGGAAUUAGGUGGAUGUUGUUAUUUUUAGGUGGAUGGAUGAUGUUUUGCUCCAUACCUGCCUCAGUGAAAGUUAGAGAGCUGAGUUACAGUAUCCUCACUCAUUUUCAAACAAACAGAAAAAGGUAAUGCCUCAGCUACUCCAAGUACUGCACUUUUUCUGUGUAUCUUGGGUAUUGUCAGCAUGAUUGGGUUCAGUUACAGAGUUAGGAUAUUGAGAAAAUGCUGAAUGUUAGGACUUAGCAAACACUGUUCUAGACAAUUUACUUCCAAAGGAAAAGACAACAUUUAAGAAAACACCUGCAUAAGGUUUCAGUAUUCUCUACCCAAACAGAGAAAUCCAUGUAUAAAAUUAAUCCAGAUUUCUAGAUCCAAAUUCUGUCUUAAGGCAUGAAAGGCUUUUCUUACCAAUACAAACACUAUGGGGAAAGGGGAGAGUUUUCAAAAUUUAAUUUUAAAUAGAAAGGAUAAUAAUGACAUUUUCACAUCCUUAUAAUUCUCAUACUCAAAAGUCACUUUAACAUUCAUCAGAAUAGCUUCUGAUAGGUGAAAAAAACCCACAGCAAUAAAUAUAUUUUUAAAGUAAAUAAGUCAGUGUGUACAGAAGCAAGGCCUGUUUCUUGAGAAAAAUCAUCUGACCUGCAGCACUUGGACUAAACGGUCCAGUGUUUAUAAAUGUGACUCAGCUGGAGAUGGUUUCUGAACUUCGGAAAUUCUGAAGAGAUUUUUCCUGUAUACUCUGGAAAGGCUUCAAAGUACAUCCAGCAAGCAAAUUUCAAAAAUACAAUGGCUGUACUUUAGCUGGUGUUCACCUAAAGUUUUACUGCAGUCUGAUUGAGUCUGUGGCCAAACCUGACAUGUAUGAGAUAAUUAUCAUUUGCAUACCAUCCUUUCCCAUUGAGAUCCUUGGAAAGAUUAAAAGAUUUAUUUAAAUAUUGAAA